AAUUAACCCUCUAGAAUUUUAAAAUUUGCUAAAUGACCCUUCCAAAAUAAUAUUUGUAAAACUAAUCCUCCUUUCGUCACGUAUGCGGAGGGGUGGAAAUUUUUUUAUAAAAACGGUAAAUCGUUCACCGCCUUCAAUACUAAUAGAUUUUUAUAAAAGCGGUGAAUCGUUCAUUGCCUUCAGUACUAAUAUAAUUAACAAAGACGGCGAAUGGUUCACCAUUUUUUACUUAUUUAAUAUUUUUUCUAUAUCUCAUAUAUAAUCUUAACAACCACAUAAAAAUUAUAACAAAUCACAUAUAANUUUUUUAUAAAUUAACCCUCUAGAAUUUUAAAAUUUGCUAAAUGACCCUUCCAAAAUAAUAUUUGUAAAACUAAUCCUCCUUUCGUCACGUAUGCCCCAUAUAUAAUAUUAAACCACAUAAAAAUUAUAACAAAUCACAUAUAAUCUCAACAACUUGAAAAUUCUAAUAAUCUAUCCAUAUAAUUCUAAUAUAAAAAUGACAACAAAUCACAUAUAAUCUUAACAAUCUGAAAAUUCUAAUAAUUUAUCCAUACAAUUCUAACAAUCAAAUAAAAAUUUCAUAUUAAAAAUCUCAUUUUUUUUCUAUUUUUCAUAUAAUUCACGUAUAAUCCUAACGAUCUCAUUUUUUUUUAUUUUUCAUCUAACAAUCUCACUUUUUUCUAUUUUCCAUAUAACCUACAUACAGGAAAAUAUAAGGUUGUUAGAUGAAAGAUAAGAAAACGUGAGAUUUUUAGGAUUAUACAUGAAUUAUUAGAAUUUUUAUUUGAUUAUUAGGAUUAUUUGAAUAGAUUAUUAGGAUUUUUAGGUUGUUAAAAUUAUAUCUGAUUUGUUAUAAUUUUUAUUUGGUUGGUAAGAUUAUAUAUGAGAUAUAGAAAAAAAUAUUAAAUCAGUAAAAGACAGUAACCAUUCACCAUCUUUACUAAUUAUAUUGACAGUGAGAAGGCGGUAAAUGAUUCACCGCUUUCAUAACAAAAGUUUGUUCUCUGGCUACGUGGUGAAAGGAGGAUUAGUUUUACAAAUAUAAUUAUGGUGUAAAAAAUUGGGUAACGGUGUAAUGGGCAUGGUGAGCGCCGAGUUGGGGCGGCACGAGCG
rnacentral:lncRNA from 1 species